CGNGAAGANCCUUACCAGGGCNUGACAUGUCGCGAAUCUUGAUGAAAGUUGAGAGUGCCUUCGGGAGCGCGAACACAGGUGGUGCAUGGCUGUCGUCAGCUCGUGUCGUGAGAUGUUGGGUUAUGUCCCGCAACGAGCGCAACCCUCGUCUUUAGUUGCCAAUAUUAAGUUAGGAACUCUAGAGAGACUGCCGGUGACAAACCGGAGGAAGGUGGGGAUGACGUCAAGUCAGCAUGCCCCUUACGCCCUGGGCAACACACGUACUACAAUGGUCGGGACAAAGGGCAGCGAACCUGCGAAGGGAAGCUAAUCUCAGAAACCCGGUCCCAGUUCAGAUUGCUCUCUGCAACUCGAGAGCAUGAAGGAGGAAUCGCUAGUAAUCGCCGGUCAGCAUACGGCGGUGAAUCCGUUCCCGGGCCUUGUACACACCGCCCGUCACACCAUGGAAGUUGGCCACGCCCGAAGUCGUUACCCUAACCCUUAGGGGAGGGGGAUGCCGAAGGCAGGGCUGAUGACUGGGGUGAAGUCGUAACAAGGUAGCCGUACCGGAAGGUGUGGCUGGAUCACCUCCUUUAAAGGGAGACCUAAAUCCAAGAAUAUAGAAAAAGCUUGGAUAAAUCCCAGGUCGGUCGAGGUUAGCUCAUGCGAGGCGAAAAAGCUUUCAAACUCAUUAGGUUCGGAUAUGGGCUAUUAGCUCAGGUGGUUAGAGCGCACCCCUGAUAAGGGUGAGGUCCCUGGUUCAAGUCCAGGAUGGCCCAGAUAAACCAAACCGGGAAUCUAGCCCCUCUUCUUGGCGAAAGUCAGAGAGUCGGCUGGAGCUCUUCUCCAGUGAAAAGAACCUUGAAAACUGCAUAACUAAAAAGAAAAUUCCAAGGGAGAUAAAUAGAUUUAUCGUCUGUUUAUCUCAAGCAGAAACCGUAAAAACAGAGAAUCAUACUUUUCGUAAAAGAGAGUAAAAACUGGUCAAGCUCCNAAAAGGNUAAGCGGUGGAUGCCUUGGC
rnacentral:sRNA from 1 species